GCGCCGCACCCGGACCAAACCCUAGGGUUAAAUACAUUUUGAUCCCUGCCUCUCUCCCGCACGCCCCCGCCCCGAAGACCUCGCGACGCCAAAAAGGAGGAGAGACCGCCACCCCCACGCCCGCACGGCCCACUCAGCGCUCUCCACCCCCGUCCCCUCGCGGCGGCGGCGGAGCCCGAGCCUGAGUCCUGCCCCCCCGGGCUAGGUUGGUCUCCGCCUCCGCCCUCCAGUCUCUUUGGCACAACCUGCAGCCGCUGGCGCAGGUGGACAUGGAUCUGCCAAGCCUCGCCGUCGUGCUGCGCGCCGCGCUCAGUCACGUUCCUGAGGAGCGCAAAGCUGCAGAGGAGAGUCUCAACCAGUUCCAGUUCACACCACAGCAUUUGGUGAGAUUGUUACAGAUCAUUGUCGAUGGAAGUUGUGAUAUGGCUGUAAGACAGGUUGCAAGCAUUCAUUUCAAGAAUUUUAUUGCGAAAAACUGGUCACCCAAUGAUCCAGAUGAGUCUCCGAAAGUUUUGGAAAGUGACAAGGCCAUGGUUCGUGAAAACGUACUUGGUUUUAUUGUUCAAGUGCCCCCUUUGUUAAGAGCCCAGCUUGGAGAAAGUAUCAAAACAAUUAUUCAUUCUGAUUAUCCUGAGCAGUGGCCAAGUCUCCUUCACUGGGUUUCACACAACAUAGACUUACAGAAUCAAAUUUUUGGUGCUUUAUAUGUCCUAAGGGUUCUUGCCAGAAAAUAUGAGUUCAAGUCUGAGGAUGAGAGGAUACCUUUAUAUCACAUUGUAGAGGAGACAUUUCCUCGUCUACUAAGCAUUUUUAGCAAAUUGGUUCAGAUUGUCAAUCCACCAAUUGAAGUUGCUGAUUUAAUCAAGUUGAUAUGUAAAAUAUUUUGGUCAUCAAUUUAUUUGGAGAUUCCGAAGCAACUAUUUGAUCCAAAUGUCUUCAAUGCAUGGAUGGUUUUGUUUAUAAACUUGUUGGAAAGGCCAGUUCCUGUGGAAGGCCAACCAAUGGAUCCUGAGAUUAGGAAAUCUUGGGCCUGGUGGAAAGUUAAGAAAUGGACUAUCCAUAUCCUGAACCGUCUCUACACCAGAUUCGGUGAUCUGAAGCUUCAGAAACCAGAGAGUAAAGCUUUCGCUCAAAUGUUUCAGAAGACUUAUGCAGGAAAAAUAUUGGCAUGCCACAUGCAGCUGCUGAAUGCAAUUCGUAGUGGUGAUUACUUGCCAGAUAGGGUUAUCAAUCUUGUUCUUCAGUAUCUAACUAACAGUGUUACAAAGAACAGUAUGUAUCAGAUGAUGCAGCCUCAGAUUGAUAUACUUCUUUUUGAGAUAAUUUUUCCUCUUAUGUGCUUCAAUGACAAUGACCAAAAGUUAUGGGAAGAAGAUCCCCAUGAAUAUGUUCGCAAGGGCUAUGAUAUCAUCGAAGAUUUGUACAGUCCCCGAACAGCUGCUAUGGACUUUGUGAGUGAAUUGAUUAGAAAGCGAGGGAAAAACAAUCUCCAAAAGUUCAUCCAUUUCAUUGUGGAUAUUUUUAGGAGGUAUGAUGAAGCACCUGCUGAUCUUAAGCCAUAUCGCCAAAAAGAUGGUGCUCUUCUCGCUAUUGGGACACUCUGUGAUAAACUGAAGCAAACAGAUCCAUAUAAAACAGAGCUUGAGAGUAUGCUGGUCCGACAUGUCUUUCCUGAAUUCAACAGUCGUGUUGGACACUUGCGAGCAAAGGCAGCAUGGGUUGCUGGGCAGUAUGCCCAUAUCAACUUUUCAGACCAGAACAAUUUUCGUCAGGCUAUGCACUGUAUUGUCUCAGGAAUGCGUGAUCCAGAUCUUCCUGUGAGGGUUGAUUCGGUCUUUGCACUUCGUUGUUUUGUUGAAGCUUGCAAAGAUUUAAAUGAGAUCCGACCUAUACUUCCUCAGCUCCUUGAUGAAUUUUUUAAGCUGAUGAAUGAGGUUGAGAAUGAGGAUCUUGUAUUCACCCUAGAAACCAUUGUUGACAAAUUUGGCGAAGAGAUGGCACCUUAUGCACUAGGUUUGUGCCAGAAUUUGGCUGCUGCUUUCUGGAGAUGUAUGGCUAGUUCAGAAGCUGAUGAUGAAGCUGAUGAUUCUGGUGCUUUGGCAGCUGUUGGUUGCUUACGAGCAAUUAGCACAAUUCUUGAGUCCAUAAGCAGCCUCCCACAUCUUUUUCUGCAAAUAGAACCUACAUUGUUACCUAUAAUGCGCAGGAUGUUGACAUCUGAUGGCCAAGAUGUUUAUGAAGAAGUUCUUGAAAUUGUUUCCUAUAUGACAUUUUUCUCACCUACAAUUUCACUGGACAUGUGGAGCUUGUGGCCACUGAUGAUGGAAGCGCUUAAUGACUGGGCUAUAGAUUUCUUUGAGAAUAUUCUUGUUCCACUGGACAACUACAUUUCUCGGGGAACUGAUAUCUUUCUUGCAAGCAAAGAUCCAGAUUACCAGCAAAGCCUGUGGGAUGCACUACAAUCUAUAAUGAUGGACGAAAACAUGGAAGAUUCUGAUAUUGAACCUGCUCCCAAGCUCAUUGAAGUUGUUUUUCAAAAUUGCAAAGGCAACGUGGAUCAGUGGGUUGAGCACUACCUCAGGAUUACAAUUGCACGGUUACGUAGAGCACAGAAACCAUACUUGAAAUGCCUCCUUGUACAAGUGAUCGCUAAUGCGCUCUACUACAAUCCUGCGCUGACCCUUGAAUCUUUAAAUAAACUUGGGGUUGCAGCUGACAUUUUUAACCAUUGGUUUGCUAUGCUACAACAAGUUAAAAAAAGUGGAGCACGGGUUAAUUUCAAGAGGGAGCAUGAUAAGAAAGUUUGCUGCUUGGGCCUGACCUCUCUUAUCGCGCUUCCAGCUGAUAAGAUUCCAGCAGAAGCUUUGGAUCGGAUCUUCAAAGCAACACUUGAGCUUCUUGUUGCUUACAAGGACCAAGUUGCAGGUGGAGUGCGAACUCCAAAAAUACCAUAGUUUUGAUAGACAUAGUUUGGAUACAAUAUUGUAAACCAAGAAGCUAAGAAGGAAAAUGAAGAGGCUGCUGAUGAUAUGGAUGGUUUUGAUGCUGAUGAAGAAGAUGAUGAUGAAGUUGACUCCGAUAAGGAGAUGGGUGUUGAUGAUGAAGACGGGGAUGAAAUAAGCAGUCUUCAGCUGCAAAAAUUAGCUGCAGAGGCUAGAGGCUUCCAACCAGCCGACGAGGAUGAUGACUCAGAUGAUGAUUUCAGUGACGAUGAGGAGCUACACUCACCAAUAGAUGAGGUGGAUCCGUUCAUUUUCUUUGUAGAAACUGUUCAAGCUUUGCAGGCAUCUGAUCCUGCCAGGUUCCAGAACCUUAUGCAGACAUUGGAUUUCCGUUAUCAGGCGCUUGCUAGUGGCAUAGGACAACAUGCCGAGCAAAGAAAAAUUGAAAUUGAGAGAGAGAAAUCUGAGAAGGCAAAUGCACAGUGACAUAAUAAAUCAUUUCUGGCCGCCCUUGUUUUUGCCAUUUUGCCAGUAUAAGCCAUUGGUGUCUGGUCAAUUCCCUGUGAUUUGCAGGUCGCUGGUAUGAGUUUUGCAGCCUUAGCCAACCUUUAAGGGUAGGACAAUUUUAGGCUCGCAAAAUUCUAUCCUUGUGAGGAAGCAUCUUGGAUAAUCUGUCACGUCGGCCAUGUUCUUCGUGGCCUGUUGUUGCCGUCUUGGUUGCGCAAGAAAGUUUCUCUCGAGGACAGUUGCUCCGUCUUGUUGAAUUUUUUUUUGGGGGGGGGCUUGUAAGAGCAUUUGUUAUAGAAACUCACCUCAGGUGGUGGGGUUGCAUUCUCCGAGUUGUCAAAGUUUAUUACUGGUUCGGAGUAGAUUGUAUAUGGUUUCGGUUGGUAAGACAACGGUUGUACGAGCUGCGGUAUAUGUUUUUUUUUGUCAACAGGACAUUGUAAUUGGGUUUUGUUCUUUGGUCGGCGAGAGCAAGAAAAAUUGGCAUUGUUCUGCGGAGUUACCUUGUUUGGUUUCAUUGUCCACUUGCCUGUGUUGCAAAAUUAUAUAAUGUUAUAGAAAUUGGAUGGUGUAGCAUAUAUAUAUACAUAUAAUGAUACUUGCA